UGAGUUAUGGACAUGGAAUCAUGUCAAGUCUAAUUGCUUAUCUAAAUAUAUUUCGAUCAAAAGAUGAUAUUUCAAUUAAUGAUACCUAAGAAAUCUCUUUUUAAUUACCAUCCUAUUUUAACCAAAAACUUCCAAAAUCAUCAAUCUAUGAGAUCACAUAGGAUGUUCGCUCUCCUUAUUAGGAGUGACCGAUCCUUUAUUGACCACUCACAACCUUCAUGCAUACUUUAUCAUAUCUAGAACACCCCACAC
rnacentral:lncRNA from 1 species